AUUAACUCUUCAGUGGUUGUCUCAGGGAGGAUGGGGAAAUGUGUGGUGCUCAGAGCACUCCUUGUUUGGGAGAACUUUCACCAUUAUAUUUGGAAAUGCUCCCAGAGUAUUAUUCCAUCUGCACUCUCCUUGCAACAAUGAUCUUUCUCUUCCACCCUCAACAGAAUCAGGAUGAAAGGGUCCUGCCAUGCAUUUUGGUCUUUCCUUAUGUAUUCCAAAAACCACUUCUUAACAACAUCUUUGUUUCUGUAUACACUACACUCAAUGCACAAAGAGUUCAUUUGCUUUCUGAUGAUUUCUCAGGGAAGGACUUGUGUGGUUGCUGCUCCUUGACAGCGAGUGUCUGGGAAGUUUGUCCUUUGUGUAAGAACAGUGCUGCAAAGAGGAGAAAAAAAAAGAGGUGCUGAGUUUCCUGAUGAGGUGGGUGACAGAAGAACCCCCUUUUCCACACAGAGCCACACAAGAUUAAUUAUGUCCUUUCUGAGAAUCAGUCUGGUAGAGCCUGGAGAAAUAUCUCCUCAGAAAAGAAGGCACAUUUACUGCUGCAUUUCAUACACUGUGCUACUGUGUACAAACACAGAGGCUGUUAAAGGGGAAAAGUGAGGAUGAUGUGAUGGUCAUAUACAGUGACAUCUAGCAAUGAAGUGACCCAGAAAUGACACACUCAAAUGGUGCAGAAUGAGUAUAAAUUGGGUCAUAUUUUGUCUUAAGUAUUGCAAGUGGCUCCAUAUAAUGUAUCACUGGAAAAAGUAUCUGGUUUAUUUAAGUCUUAAUGCACUACUUUUUUUCUUUACUUAUUUCUUGAAUUCAUAAACCCCAAAACAAACCUGUAUUUUCAGUGCAAAGAUUUAGAUUCAGACUACAAAAGUGAAUUUAUCACUUUAGAUGCAAAAAAAGUUUUGUCUAAAAAGGGAGACUUACUAAUUUAAGAAGAAUCUGCAAAAGAAUACCUAAUUAAAGUGUUUUCUUUGGAGUUUUUUUUGAGAGAAAAAUGUAUGAGAGAUGACAUGUAUUUAAAUCUUUAAAAACCUAGUCUCUUCCAUGAAUUUUAUUUGAUUUCUGUAGUAUGAAACAUAUCCUCCUCUCGUUUCUCCCACUUUGUUCUAUGGCAGACACUUAAGUAAAAAUGCCUUUAUAUAAAACUAUCUAUUUGCUCAACCUAUUUUUUAAUCUGUUUCUUUACAACGUUUGAUGCAAAACUAGUGACUGUUUUCCUGAGAGAAAAUUGUUCAAAGUUCCAUUUUUAGUUGCUGAAUAUUAGCAGCACUCUGGCCAUUAAGGAUGGCUGCCUUAUUUUCAACUCCCAUUCUGCUCCUACCCAUUAUCGUUCUGGUUGCCAUGCAAGUGUGAUUUUAAACCUCCUGGUGUGACAAAAAACAGAGAUAGUAAAAGACCUGGUGAGUGUCUAGGAGUCAUUUAAGGAUAUACAGGUACUUUGAACAAUCCCAGCCUUCCUUCCUAGGAAUGUCCUUUCCUUGGAUACUCCCUUGCAUGAGCAGUUUGUGAUAACAAGGUCCCACACACGGAUCCACAUUCCCUCCACCAGUCAACAGAUGACUCCCAUUUUCUGGGGAUUUUAGUUUUGGUUUGUUUUUUGGGGUUUUUUUUAAAAUAGAAUCCCUUGACUACUACUAACAUGUAAUUUUGUUUCCCUGUUCUUCAGUCAUUUAGGAGGAGUGUCAAAACCCCUUCUGCAGAGAAUAUAGUUUACAGGGAUAUCCUUUUCUUUCCCUGUAUUUUUACAAACCACAUAGCAUGAAGCUUUUUCGGUCUUUGAAUUGUCUUUUUUGAAUUAUCUUUUUCAGUACUUUGAAUUGUGUGAAUUGUGAAAAAAUGUGAGAUUAUGAAGGAAAUUGUGAUUUAUACUACUCCAACUUAGGCUUCAGACCCACCUGUGCUCUUCUGUGAAAACCAGAAUACUCUUAACAUGGGAUGGUCAGAGUUUUCUCAUCUCAGAACUGUUUUGUUUUCUGAAAACCAAUGCAGUAACUGUUCUAAAUGACCCCAGAGACCUCCACCAGCCCUGGCUUGCCCUUUUCAGAGUGCUGUAUACACAAGCCUCGGGUGAUUCAUGGCAAGUAGAGAAGUUACAUACACAAGGAAGGGAAAGAAGGGUGUCUUUGAGAGCAGGCAGCUGUUUUGUGCUGGCUUUCCGCUGCGCUGUAUAGCCAAGGAGUGUGAAACAUAACAGCAGCAUCUCAAGUCUUGGCACAAAAUCCUGCUUUGUCUUCCUGAGAACAGUUGGGCCAUUAGUGGCCAUUCAGUCAGACAGAGCACGGCUGUCUCAGAGCUGGAUGGGGAGAGGCUGAUAGUGAGAAAAUGUUGUACUGGAGGAUCACACUGAGCAAUUGCUUGGCUCAGCUGUGUGAGAAUGGCAGCCCUCGCUGCAGGGCUGAUGGACGGCUGGAAGCCAAGAGGGAAAUCAGCACUUCAUAAAAGUUAAUGACCAAAGAUAUACUUCUUAUGAGUCCUGACCAUGGCAGGAUUCAAGUGCAAAGCACUGGACUAUUUCCUCCUCCAUUGCUCCCUCUUGUUUUGGACCGAUCUCCCUCUCUCUUUUUGUUAUUAUUACUGUUAGUUUGUAAAAUAUGCCAUUGUGACAAAGCCCUGAAUAAAGACACCCUCCAUUAUUUUCUUCCA
ensembl:lncRNA